rnacentral:rRNA from 1 species
UCCUACGGGGGGCAGCAGCAGGGAAUCUUGGGCAAUGGGCGAAAGCCUGACCCAGCGACGCCGCGUGGAGGAAGAAGUCCUUCGGGGCGUAAACUCCUGGACUGGGGGACGAGGAAGGACGGUACCCCAGUAGAAAGGGACGGCUAACUACGUGCCAGCAGCCGCGGUAAAACGUAGGUCCCGAGCGUUGUUCGGAUUCACUGGGUGUAAAGGGCGCGUAGGUGGUUGUCUGUGUCUCAUGUGAAAACUCAGGGCUCAACUCUGAGAUUGCGUGGGAAACUAGGCAGCUAGAGGACGGUAGAGGGGAGUGGAAUUCCCGGUGUAGCGGUAAAAUGCGUAGAUAUCGGGAGGAACACCGGUGGCGAAGGCGGCUCUCUGGGCCGAUCCUGACGCUGAGGCGCGAAAGCUAGGGGAGCGAACCGGAUUAGAUACCCGUGUAGUCCA